UUUAACUGAGCGUUCAGUUACUUGACGUAGACCCGAAACCGGGCGACCUACCCAUGAGCAGGAUGAAGCGAAAGUAAAAUUUCGUGGAGGUCCGAACCCACGAGCGUUGAAAAGCUCGGGGAUGACUUGUGGGUAGCGGUGAAAUUCCAAUCGAGCCCGGAGAUAGCUGGUUCUCCCCGAAAUAGCUUUAGGGCUAGCCUCAAGGUGAGAGAUACGGAGGUAGAGCACUGAAUGUCCUAGGGGGUAUUGCACCUACCGAAGACUAUCAAACUCCGAAUGCCGUCAUCUUAUACUUGGGAGUCAGACUGUGGGUGAUAAGAUUCAUAGUCGAAAGGGCAACAGCCCAGAUCGUCAGCUAAGGUCCCUAAAUGUAAGUUAAGUGGUAAAGGAUGUGGGAUUGCACAGACAACCAGGAUGUUGGCUUAGAAGCAGCCACUCAUUCAAAGAGUGCGUAAUAGCUCACUGGUCGAGUGAUCCUGCGCCGAAGAUUUCCGGGGCUAAAACUUACUACCGAAGCUACGGCAUCAGU
rnacentral:rRNA from 1 species